CAGUAGCCGUAGUCAUUUACGCGUACCAGCUGUUUGGAAACGUGCUAGCCUCCUGCUUCACGAACGGGAACUUACUGACAUGAAUUACGGCGCGUCUGGGCUCCUGAAAACAUGAUAGCCUCCUGUUUCGUAAACGGGGAACUCAUUCGGAUGAUUUACGCGCUGUAACUUACGAAACUGUGCCGGCCUUCUGGUCUUUCCACCUGUGAUUCCUGUCUUUACGAUCGGAACGAAACGAAAAGGGUAUUGUCGGCAUCUCGAAAAUAAAUGAAAAAUGAUAAAACGAUGACUAAAGGCAUCGCGUCGUCCCGUGGAAAGUAAUUAACUGAAAGCACGAAAAGAGAGACUUAUUUCAUUCCGGAUAUUAAUAUUCCCACCAUUCGUGAGAUAUUUUCUACGUGGAUGAACAGGGAAAUUUGUUGCCAACAAAAUCGACGAUUAAUUAGUCGAUACGGCUUGUUCGUGCAGAAACAAUCAUACUUCAUCAUGGAACAACUUGAUAAAAUUAUGAUAAAAUGGUUUCUCUUUGUUUUAUUUUCCA